GCUUUGAGAAGCUAACCAGCAUCGGUCUUGUAAACCGAAGACCAGAACAUAACUCUCCAAAGCU
rnacentral:tRNA from 1 species